GUAGCACAGAGAGCUUGCUCUCCGGUGACGAGCGGCGGACGGGUGAGUAAUGUCUGGGAAACUGCCUGAUGGAGGGGGAUAACUACUGGAAACGGUAGCUAAUACCGCAUAACGUCGCAAGACCAAAGGGGGGGACCUUCGGGCCUCUUGCCGUCAGAUGUGCCCAGAUGGGAUUAGCUAGUAGGUGGGGUAACGGCUCACCUAGGCGACGAUCCCUAGCUGGUCUGAGAGGAUGACCAGCCACACUGGAACUGAGACACGGUCCAGACUCCUACGGGAGGCAGCAGUGGGGAAUAUUGCACAAUGGGCGCAAGCCUGAUGCAGCCAUGCCGCGUGUAUGAAGAAGGCCUUCGGGUUGUAAAGUACUUUCAGCGGGGAGGAAGGCGAUAAGGUUAAUAACCUUGUCGAUUGACGUUACCCGCAGAAGAAGCACCGGCUAACUCCGUGCCAGCAGCCGCGGUAAUACGGAGGGUGCAAGCGUUAAUCGGAAUUACUGGGCGUAAAGCGCACGCAGGCGGUCUGUCAAGUCUGAUGUGAAAUCCCCGGGCUCAACCUGGGAACUGCAUUCGAAACUGGCAGGCUAGAGUCUUGUAGAGGGGGGUAGAAUUCCACGUGUAGCGGUGAAAUGCGUAGAGAUCUGGAGGAAUACCGGUGGCGAAAGCGGCCCCCUGGACAAAGACUGACGCUCAGUGCAAAGCGUGGGGAGCAAACAGGAUUAUAUACCCUGUAGUCCACGCCGUAACGAUGUCGAUUUGGGAGGUUGUGCCCUUGAUGCGUGCUUCCGGACUAACGCGUUAAAUCACCCGCCUGGGGGAGU
rnacentral:rRNA from 2 species